GCCAUCCUUGGGAUACCACCCUUGUAGUACUGGGACUCUAACCAUAGGCCAUGAAUCUGGUCUUGGGACACUGUCAGGUGGGCAGUUUGACUGGGGCGGUCGCCUCCCAAAAGGUAACGGAGGCGCUCAAAGGUUCUCUCAGUACGGUCGGAAAUCGUACGUAGAGUGUAAAGGCAAAAGAGAGCUUGAUUGCAAGACAUACAGGUCGAGCAAGGAUGAAAAUCGGACUUAGUGAUCCGGUGGUUCUGCGUGGAAGGGCCAUCGCUCAACGGAUAAAAGCUACCCUGGGGAUAACAGGCUUAUCUCCCCCAAGAGUCCACAUCGACGGGGAGGUUUGGCACCUCGAUGUCGGCUCAUCACAUCCUGGGGCUGUAGUAGGUCCCAAGGGUUGGGCUGUUCGCCCAUUAAAGUGGUACGCGAGC
rnacentral:rRNA from 1 species